GGGGGUAUGGCGCAAUUGGCAGCGCGUGUGACUCCAGUUCACAAGGUUAUCUGAUCGAGACGGGUUACCCUCA
rfam:Penicillium arizonense strain CBS 141311 PENARI_contig035, whole genome shotgun sequence.